ACUCCUACGGGAGGCAGCAGUGGGGAAUCUUAGACAAUGGGCGCAAGCCUGAUCUAGCCAUGCCGCGUGAGUGAUGAAGGUCUUAGGAUCGUAAAGCUCUUUCGCCAGGGAUGAUAAUGACAGUACCUGGUAAAGAAACCCCGGCUAACUCCGUGCCAGCAGCCGCGGUAAUACGGAGGGGGUUAGCGUUGUUCGGAAUUACUGGGGCGUAAAGCGCGCGUAGGCGGAUUGGAAAGUUGGGGGUGAAAUCCCAGGGGCUCAACCCUGGAACUGCCUCCAAAACUCCCAGUCUUGAGUUCGAGAGAGGUGAGUGGAACUCCGAGUGUAGAGGUGAAAUUCGUAGAUAUUCGGAAGAACACCAGUGGCGAAGGCGGCUCACUGGCUCGAUACUGACGCUGAGGUGCGAAAGU
rnacentral:rRNA from 1 species